rnacentral:rRNA from 1 species
UACGUAGGGUGCGAGCGUUGUCCGGAAUUAUUGGGCGUAAAGGGUGUGUAGGUGGCGCGCUAAGUCGGGUGUGAAAUUUCGGAGCUUAACUCCGAAACUGCAUUCGAUACUGGCGUGCUUGAGGACUGGAGAGGAGACUGGAAUUCAUGGUGUAGCAGUGAAAUGCGUAGAGAUCAUGAGGAAGACCAGUGGCGAAGGCGGGUCUCUGGACAGUUCCUGACACUGAGACACGAAGGCCAGGGGAGCAAACGGG